AGACCCGAAACCCGGUGAUCUAGCCAUGGGCAGGUUGAAGGUUGGGUAACACUAACUGGAGGACCGAACCGACUAAUGUUGAAAAAUUAGCGGAUGACCUGUGGCUGGGGGUGAAAGGCCAAUCAAACCGGGAGAUAGCUGGUUCUCCCCGAAAGCUAUUUAGGUAGCGCCUCGUGAAUUCAUCUCCGGGGGUAGAGCACUGUUUCGGCUAGGGGGCCAUCCCGGCUUACCAACCCGAUGCAAACUGCGAAUACCGGAGAAUGUUAUCACGGGAGACACACGGCGGGUGCUAACGUCCGUCGUGAAGAGGGAAACAACCCAGACCGCCAGCUAAGGUCCCAAAGUCAUGGUUAAGUGGGAAACGAUGUGGGAAGGCCCAGACAGCCAGGAUGUUGGCUUAGAAGCAGCCAUCAUUUAAAGAAAGCGUAAUAGCUCACUGGUCGAGUCGGCCUGCGCGGAAGAUGUAACGGGGCUAAACCAUGCACCGAAGCUGCGGCAGCGACACUGUGUGUUGUUGGGUAGGGGAGCGUUCUGUAAGCCUGUGAAGGUGUGUCGUGAGGCAUGCUGGAGGUAUCAGAAGUGCGAAUGCUGACAUAAGUAACGAUAAAGCGGGUGAAAAGCCCGCUCGCCGGAAGACCAAGGGUUCCUGUCCAACGUUAAUCGGGGCAGGGUGAGUCGACCCCUAAGGCGAGGCCGAAAGGCGUAGUCGAUGGGAAACGGGUUAAUAUUCCCGUACUUGGUGUUACUGCGAAGGGGGGACGGAGAAGGCUAUGUUGGCCGGGCGACGGUUGUCCCGGUUUAAGCGUGUAGGUGUGUGUUCCAGGUAAAUCCGGUUCACUUUAACACUGAGGCGUGACGACGAGGCACUACGGUGCUGAAGCAACAAAUGCCCUGCUUCCAGGAAAAGCCUCUAAGCAUCAGGUAACAUCAAAUCGUACCCCAAACCGACACAGGUGGUCAGGUAGAGAAUACCAAGGCGCUUGAGAGAACUCGGGUGAAGGAACUAGGCAAAAUGGUGCCGUAACUUCGGGAGAAGGCACGCUGACACGUAGGUGAAGUGAUUUACUCAUGGAGCUGAAGUCAGUCGAAGAUACCAGCUGGCUGCAACUGUUUAUUAAAAACACAGCACUGUGCAAACACGAAAGUGGACGUAUACGGUGUGACGCCUGCCCGGUGCCGGAAGGUUAAUUGAUGGGGUCAGCGCAAGCGAAGCUCCUGAUCGAAGCCCCGGUAAACGGCGGCCGUAACUAUAACGGUCCUAAGGUAGCGAAAUUCCUUGUCGGGUAAGUUCCGACCUGCACGAAUGGCGUAAUGAUGGCCAGGCUGUCUCCACCCGAGACUCAGUGAAAUUGAACUCGCUGUGAAGAUGCAGUGUACCCGCGGCAAGACGGAAAGACCCCGUGAACCUUUACUAUAGCUUGACACUGAACAUUGAGCCUUGAUGUGUAGGAUAGGUGGGAGGCUUUGAAGUGUGGACGCCAGUCUGCAUGGAGCCGACCUUGAAAUACCACCCUUUAAUGUUUGAUGUUCUAACGUGGACCCGUAAUCCGGGUUGCGGACAGUGUCUGGUGGGUAGUUUGACUGGGGCGGUCUCCUCCUAAAGAGUAACGGAGGAGCACGAAGGUUGGCUAAUCCUGGUCGGACAUCAGGAGGUUAGUGCAAUGGCAUAAGCCAGCUUGACUGCGAGCGUGACGGCGCGAGCAGGUGCGAAAGCAGGUCAUAGUGAUCCGGUGGUUCUGAAUGGAAGGGCCAUCGCUCAACGGAUAAAAGGUACUCCGGGGAUAACAGGCUGAUACCGCCCAAGAGUUCAUAUCGACGGCGGUGUUUGGCACCUCGAUGUCGGCUCAUCACAUCCUGGGGCUGAAGUAGGUCCCAAGGGUAUGGCUGUUCGCCAUUUAAAGUGGUACGCGAGCUGGGUUUAGAACGUCGUGAGACAGUUCGGUCCCUAUCUGCCGUGGGCGCUGGAGAACUGAGGGGGGCUGCUCCUAGUACGAGAGGACCGGAGUGGACGCAUCACUGGUGUUCGGGUUGUCAUGCC
rnacentral:rRNA from 1 species